GGACAGAAAGACCCUAUGAAGCUUUACUGUAGUUUGGAAUUGGGUUCGGGCUCUUCUUGCGCAGCCUAGGUGGGAGGCUAUGAAGAUAAACUUUUGGGUUUAUUGGAGCCAACAGUGAGAGACCACUCUAGAGGAGCUAGAAUUCUAAUGGCGUUCCUUGAAGCAGGACGCUUGACAGUUUCAGAUGGGCAGUUUGACUGGGGCGGUCACCUCCUAAAAGGUAACGGAGGUGUGCGAAGGUUCCCUCAGGCUGGACGGAAAUCAGCCGUAGAGUGUAAAGGCAGAAGGGAGCUUGACUGCAAGACCUACAAGUCGAGCAGGGGCGAAAGCCGGCCUUAGUGAUCCGACGGUUCCGAGUGGAAGGGCCGUCGCUAAACGGAUAAAAGUUACUCUAGGGAUAACAGGCUGA
rnacentral:rRNA from 1 species